rnacentral:rRNA from 1 species
AUGAAGAUACCUCUUAAGAAUAAAAUCUUUGCAUGGUAUCUUCGCCGCGGAGUCAUUCUUACUAAAGAUAACCUUAUUAAGAGGAAUUGGCAUGGAAGUACGCAAUGUGUCAUUUGUCAUCAUAAUGAGACAAUAAAACAUUUAUUCUUCCAAUGCGAAUUGACUCGUUCUAUAUGGUCAGUCAUCCAAAUAGCUUCUGACUUAUAUCUUCUUUGUAGUGUUGCUAAUGUAUUUGGCAACUGGUUACAUGUGAUUGAUCACUGGUUUAGAAUUCUUCUCAGGAUGGGAGCGCUUACCGUUAUUAUACGGACUGUACAUGUCUCUUUGUAUUUUGUCUUUUUUAUUUAUUUUUCAUUUGUGCGAGAGGAUCUUGCUUGA